rnacentral:sRNA from 1 species
CACACGCAAGGGGCGGAACCUGAGCUUAUCGGGGUCCAUCCGGUGCCCGCGAGGAACGUUUCCUCCGGUCCACAUCCUCUUGCGGAGGUCAAACCGGAAAACUCAGGAGAUAA